UACAGAGGGUGCGAGCGUUGUUCGGAAUUAUUGGGCGUAAAGGGCGCGUAGGCGGUGCGGUAAGUCACCUGUGAAAUCUCCUGGCUCAACUGGGAGCUUGCAGGCGAAACUGCCGUGCUGGAGUGUGGGAGAGGUGAGUGGAAUUCCCGGUGUAGCGGUGAAAUGCGUAGAUAUGACAUAGAACACCAAUUGCGAAGGCAGCUCGUUACACGAAUAUUGACUCUGAGGCUCGAAAGCGUGGGGAUCAAACAGG
rnacentral:rRNA from 1 species